AAACAACGCCUGCACGAAGUUGGAAUUGCUAGUAAUCGCGGAUCAGCAUGCCGCGGUGAAUACGUUCCCGGGUCUUGUACACACCGCCCGUCACACCAUGGGAGCUGGUAACACCCGAAGUCAGUAGUCUAACCGCAAGGAGGACGCUGCCGAAGGUGGGAUUAGCGACUGGGGUGAAGUCGUAACAAGGUAAC
rnacentral:rRNA from 1 species